rnacentral:lncRNA from 1 species
UUAACUCUAUUUGAUUUAGUCUUCCUUCUCUCCUUUUUCUUUUUCAUCAUUAAACAAGAUAUUCAAAACUCCUCCUUAAUGAGUGCAUCAAGAUUUUCCUUUAAUCUUUAAAUCAAAGGAAACUUUAAACCCUAAAUGUCACGACCCAAAUUUUGGGUCAUGACCGGCGCAUGGAUCCAAUGGACGUAAUCCACUAAACCCAAGCAAGCCUAUUAUUUAUCUUACUUAUGAUUCUAUUUAUUAUCACUAAGUCCUAUUUCAUGACUUUGAGUCAAAAUAGUGAUAUACAUUGCCAACUCGUACUGGCAUUACUCUUUUAAAAUUUACAUUUAAGUUCAUCUAUACAUAACAAAAUAAUACUCGACCUCCAGCGGAGUGACUCGGAUGGAUAUACAGCUACCGAAUGCCGAGACACCUACCAGAAGAUGUACACAGAUCUACAAGGACACCUCGUCCUAAUUAUCGGCUACCUCGUGAUCUGAAAACAUGAAUUUGAAAAUGGUGAGUAUAAACCCAGUGAGUGAACAAGGA